rnacentral:rRNA from 1 species
CCUACGGGAGGCAGCAGUCGAGAAUCAUUCGCAAUGGGGGAAACCCUGAUGGUGCGACGCCGCGUGGGGGAAUGAAGGUCUUCGGAUUUUAAACCCCUGUCAUGUGGGGGCAAAUUAAAAAGAUAGUACCACAAGAGGAAGAGACGGCUAACGCGGUGACAGCCGCCGCGGUAAUACAGAGGGCUCAAGCGUUGUUCGGAAUCACUGGCGGUAAAGCGUGCGUAGGCGGGUUCGUAAGUCGUGGGUGAAAGGCGCGGGAUUAACCCGCGGACUGCACAUGAUACUGCGAGACUAGAGUAAUGGAGGGGGAACCGGAAUUCUCGGUGUAGCAGUGAAAUGCGUAGAUAUCGAGAGGAACACUCGUGGCGAAGGCGGGUCCAUGGACAUUAACUGACGCUGAGGUACGAAGGCCAGGGGAGCGAAAGGGAUUAGAUACCCCUGUAGUC